UGGCCUUGACAUGUACGGCAUGCUUUAGAGAUAGAGCUGUGCCUUCGGGAACCGUAACAC
rnacentral:rRNA from 1 species